UACGAAGGGGGCUAGCGUUGCUCGGAAUUACUGGGCGUAAAGCGCACGUAGGCGGCUUCUUAAGUCGGUGGUGAAAUCCUGGAGCUCAACUCCAGAACUGCCUUUGAUACUGGCGAUCUCGAGUCCGGGAGAGGUGAGUGGAACUGCGAGUGUAGAGGUGAAAUUCGUAGAUAUUCGCAAGAACACCAGUGGCGAAGGCGGCUCACUGGCCCGGUACUGACGCUGAGGUGCGAAAGCGUGGGGAGCAAACAGG
rnacentral:rRNA from 1 species